AGAUGAGCCUCGCAUGUCAAAUCUUCCUUCUGAUUUUCGUCUUUUCCAUCCAAGGUACGGUGGCGUGGGUCUCCACUGGCGACCUUGGGGCGAGUGUUAGAGUCGAAGAGGUCAGAGCCCAGCUUUCUCUGGCAGGGAGUCUCAAGAUCUCAGUAACUGUCUUGCUUUUUAUAGGUGCAGCUCCUGCAAAUGAUGAUAUCGUCUGGGGUACCCUGGGUCAGGACAUCAACCUGGAUAUUCCUGAUUCUCAAAUGAUUAAUAUAGAUGAUAUACACUGGGAAAAAGGCAAAAAGAAGGUGGCGAGGUUCCAAAUUAGCAACAAGCCUAAGAAUCCAGAUGAAAAAUAUAACGUGUCAAUGAAUGGAACUCUGAAAAUUAAACAUCUGAUGCUAGAAGACAGCGAUACCUACAAGGUAGUUAUAUACGAUAAGGAUGGAAAGAAUGCGUUGGAAAAAACAUUUCAGCUGAAGAUUCAAGGUAAGUCUUUAUUCCCUAAAAUUCCUUCAUCUCAGCAUGGGUGCUGUUUAGUAAGUAAGGGAAUAGCAUUUAGGGACCGGCCCGGCCUGACCUUGGCCUUGGGCGAGCUCUAAAAAAAAAAAAAAAAAUCUAAUGCCUCUCUCCCAGCUCAGUGAGGGCUCCAGUCCUGUGGAAAAGAUGAGGUCCACACGUGUGGAAAUCCACGGGGGAGAGAUCCUCACCUCUAUUUGCCUAAAACGCUCUCUUCAGAGGUUACGGGGAUGUAGAGCUGAGUGUCCAACCCAGAUUAAGGUGGCAUCAAUCAGGAGGAGGGGAGCACGUGGGCAGAAGAAAACAGCGGUCAUUCCAGGUGGCUCGUGAAGGAGCAAGCGGGGUGUGGGGCAGGCUAACUGGAGAGUACUGGGUCUUCCAUCGGGAGAGCCGUUUGAAGCCAGGAUGCCCUGAAGGAGUCGUUCUAAGCCCUAAAGGUUGAUGAAUUUAAAGAUGAACGGGCCCGUGUUUGAGAUCUACUCAACAGGAGAGCGAUCAGAAGCAGAAGUUAACUCUUGCUGCUCUCUGUAGAAGGUACGCCAGGGGUGGCUGGCUGUGUGUGGUGGGCCGGGAGGGCCGGCGUGCAUGUUGACGACGAGCCAGGGAGCUGCUGCUAUAAUCCGAGUGAGGUGAGAAGGAGCUGGCUGGUGAUUCGUAACUCAGGCUGCCUGUUAGAGUCAACUGAGGUGCUAAGAAAGAUUACCGGUGCCUAGGUCCCAGCCCGGACCAAUCAAAUCCGAACUCCCUGGCAUGGGGCCGGGGCAUCAGCAGGUGUUCGAGCACCCCAGCUGACUCAUGGGCAGCCAAAGCACGACCACUGGCCUCAAUAAAGGGUGCCUGUAAAUGAGGAAGCAGGGUACACGGGGGUGGGGGGGCGGGGAAGGAUGGGCAAGAUGGUCUGGGUACAGCAGACAAGGAAGAGAAAGUGAAAUUGAAUGACACUCAGGUUGAAAGUCCAGGAGACCCUCGGCAGGGGGAGGGGCGCAAUAGGAGGAAGAGAAGCUUGGGGAGAAAGACAGGAACUCCAGCAACAGCAUGAGCCAGAGUUUCAGGGGGCAAAUAAAUCAAUAUUUCUGUGCUUCGCACAGGAAUUGUCGCCAGAGACAGGGUUCCUUCCCCCUCCCUAGGAUCACCCUCCGGCCUGUUCCCAGCCCCCACUCUAGCAAUCCCAGAUGGGAAAUCCCAGAUAGCUCCCUGCAAAUGACAACUUUCCAUACCCUAGUUCUGCAACCCUGAACGGAGAGGAUAUUCCAGAAAUGGGGUGAGGCUAAGAACAGAGCUGGAAGGGGCCUCUGCUUCCAGGCCCUGGGAACACAGCUCUCCUGACUCCUGUCCAUAUGGGCUCAAGUGUCCUCUCCUGAACACGAGCCUUACACGUGUGUCUCAUCUAGUAACGCAGUGAUGAUGGCUUAUCAACUAGGCAUCAGGUGCCCUGCUACGUGAUCCUGUUUAAGGUUCCCAGCAAUGCGGACAGCAUCCUCUUAUCAUCCAGAGGGAAUCAGGAGCAACUUGUCCGAAGUCUCACAGUUUGACAGGAGCAGAGUCAGGGUGCAAGUUCAGCGCUUCUCUUAAUGAGGAUGGUGACAUCCCCCCCCCCCAAACAGCUUUAUUGAGAUAGAAUUCACAUACCAGAAAUUCACCCUUUUAAAGUGUACAAUUCAAUGGCUUUUGGUAUAUUCAGUUAGGCAACUAGCUCACAACUGAUUGUAGAAUGUGUUCAUUACCCAAAAAUAACCCCCACUCUCCUUGGCCAAAAGACAGAGAUCUUUCCAUGACACGACUGGUGCCUGCUGAGUGAGUGUGUGUGUGUGUGUGUGUGUGUGUGUCAGUGUCACACGGCAUCUUAAUUCAGCUUGUGGUCUGGUCCUCAUUACUUGCAACAUGGCCUUGGGCAAAUUCUCCGCCUGCUCUGAGCCUGAUUUGUGUAAUAAUAACUCCAUGGGAUAUUCAAUGAGAUAACUGAGCAAAGGUGCUGGACAGCACUGGGACCCAAUACCCAUUUGCUCAGUGCUGAUGCCCUACCCCAACCCUGUUUCUUCACGCAUCUAUAGUUUCAGUUUCCUUGAGGAGGCUGCUGCCUCUGGCUAAAGAGGCAUCAGAAGUUCUCUUAAAAGAGAGCUUAGGGGAGAACUAAUAAAUCCUAGCAACCUGGAUCUAGGGAGUUCUCAUCUAUGUGAUGUGCCCCCACAGCCAUGCCUCUUCCGGGAAGCUACUUACAGAGAGGACAUUUACAAAGACGUGGCUCCAAGAACCUGCUCAUCGCUGUGUGGUUUAUGUUAGUGAAAAACUGGAAAGGGUCACAAAGUCCCCAGCAGUUACAAACUUCUUCAUUAAAUUAAGACACCUCAUUUAAAAAGAUGGGGAGAUGAAUAUUUCUUGAUGUUCAGAAAGGAAAGAAUUUCAUAACAGAUCAUCAGUAAGGAGGGAAAAAAGCAGACUACAAAAUCAUACGAUCCAGUUUUAGUUUUUAAAACAUUAUGUGUACGUGUGUUACGUAUCGAAAGCAUCUGUUGACUCUGGGUAGUAGAAUUACACGCGAUUUUUUUAAUCCUGAAACAUGUUACUGUAGCUGAUCAAGUUUUACAAUGAUUAGAUGUUACUGUUAGAAAUAGAAAGAAGAUUCUUUCCAUUUUGAAAAGGCAAAUAGACACCUUGACUUGACCCCUAGACUCUUCACUGCCCCUGCCUUGUAGGCCCUCCAUCCUGUUCAUUCUGGACCCCAAAGAAUCUUGGGAUGGGAAGAAAAGUUAAUUUCUGCAUACCUAUCUACUAGAGCAGAAAUGAAAUUUGAUGGGAAAGUGCACAGAGAAGAUACGUUGCUUGGGAGGCAGGGAGGGAGGGGUCAUUAAAAAAGCAGCCAUCUGGCUGCAUAACGGAUGGAGAGAAAUUGAGCGAGAAAGGUGGUUAAGUCUGGGAAAAGAGAGUAAGGGUAAGAACAAGAACAGAAGAGAAGAAGGAGGAGGUCAGACAGCUAAGAAGUGGUGACAUUAGGAUUUGGACCAGCCCUGUGUGAAGCCAAGGGCGUUUUCUUUCAUGACGCAGCCUUGGAAUAUUAUUGUGUCAGAAAAAGAGAGGCAAGGAGUUGAUGAUUAUGAGGGGCUGGUGCCCACUCACCCCAGAACUUGAGCUGCACACCCGGCCCUCUCCUCCCAGGACCUGGUGGGUGGAUGGGAGUAGGGUCUGUUUGUGACCAAGGUCCCAGACCACACAUGUAACGACACCUCCAGGGUAGGGUUCCUGGCUGCAUGGAAGCAUUGCCCCCCUCAAGUUUUGGGGAUCAAGACAUGCUAACUGUCUUACCCAUGCUCCUGAACUUGGGCUUAGAAGAGUGAGCUCCUCCCGUUAUCUGCCAUUUAUUAGUGGGUGCCCUUAGAUCACCAUUGAACCUCUCAGGGCUUUGGGGAUAUCCACUGUAAAUGGCAAGAAAAAUCAGCCUCUUCUCUUUGUUAGGAUUAAGUGACAUCAUGUAUGUGAAAACAUUUUGAGGUAUAAAAUAGCACAUAAACAUUUGACAGGAUGCAUUUUUUUUCCUGCUCAUAUGAUGUAUCUAUGAACAUCAUAAAAAAAUUGUUCCGAGUGUGCUGUAUAAAAAAAAUAAAAAUGGGGGCGCCUGGGUGGCUCAGUCAGUUGAGCAUCCGACUUCGGCUCAGGUCAUGAUCUCGCAGUUCAUGAGUCUGAGCCCGCAUUGGGCUCUGUGCUGACAGCUCGGAGCCUGGAGCCUGCUUCCGAUUCUGUGUCUCCCUCUCGCUCUGCCCCUCCCCCACUCAUGCUCUGUCUCUCUCUGUCAAAAAUAAAAUAAACAUUAAAAAAAAAUUCUUUAAAUAAAAAUGAUUUGCAACAAUAGCUAGUGGUCUCGGAAAUCGUCUCCUGGUCCCAGACUAACUCUUCCCCUCUCCAUAAAUAAGUAUGUCAGUUAAAAUCAGAAAAUUGACUACUAUGAAUUGGAUCUUUUUUUUUUUUUUUUCCAGAGAAGGUCUCAACGCCUAACAUCGACUGGAAUUGUAUCAACAAAACCCUGGUCUGUAAGAUAUCAAAUGGAACAGACCCUGAAUUAAAACUGUACGUAAAUGGGACCAGUAUCAAGCCCGUUUCUUCGAAGUUCAGCACAUAUAGGUUUAUAAACAAGCAGAAGAUAUUAGUCAACUGCACGGCAGAAAACAAAGUCAGCAAGGAAAGCAACGUGAAGAUGAUCACUUGUUCAGGUGCGUGGCAAGCACUGGUCAGACAUCCCAAGCUCAUUUGGCAAACACAGCCUGUCAGGUGUGGGGCAGAGACUCGCUCUGGGGCACGGGGGACUGGGCUGGGAGGCAGCCCUUUG
rnacentral:lncRNA from 1 species